CUUCUUUUGGUCUCAGUGCCAGCCACGAAAGUUCUGCCACCGAGGACCUCAGCAGGGGGGAAUGAAGAAAUCACAGAUCUCCUAAACCAUCCCUGGAAUCUCAGUAAGACCCUGAUAAAAGAGUGACCAGAGACAACAUUGGCAGGACGCAAAGAACAGCAGAAGAUGCUAGGCCAAUCAGCGUAAAUGAAGAAGGGAGAAGAUCAGGACGAAGAAACUGGUUCAAAUCUUAGCCGGCUCCGUUUGGAAAUCGGUGCGGAACUUAAGCAGAGAGCCCUCCAUUUUCUGUCUGUAAUGCUCAUUAAAUCUCUCAUUCAGGGC